rnacentral:siRNA from 1 species
UGGACUAUAAGUUGGUGUUGGAG